CAGCCUGCUUGAGAGUCCCCAGCAGGUUUUAGGAGCCUCACUGUCUGUCGGCUGAAAAACAGCGUUAUUUUUCCUCUACGAGUCUCUCUUGGCUUGGGAUGCACGGCUGUAUUUGCUUCUGGCUUGAGGACAGCUAUUCCCCUCUCCCAGGCCCCAACUGUGCACUUUGGAGAGGAUUCUGGAUGGUCGUUCCUUCCAAAGAUAGUGGGACCCCAACUUGCCUGAUAAGGACCAGUUCCUCCAGAGCUGUGCUUAGAAAAGACACUGAUAACCAGCGACUGAGAAGAGUCAGGGGAGAAGAAGAAAGUGGCUAACACGUCCUGCAGGCUGCCUAUAUGCCAAUAAUUCAGGCUAACAAAUGAAGCUCAGAGUGACUGCCUCUUGCAUCUCCAGAAGUUUGAAUGCAGUGACUCCAAUGAACUCUACAAAGGAGUGAUAAUUGCACUAUUUUUAAAAGGCUGGCUGGAUCUAUUAAUAAAAAAGUGUAUAUUGUAUAUAUAUAUCAG
rnacentral:lncRNA from 1 species